UUUCCUGAUGACAAAAGGCCAUGAGGCCUGAUAACCCCAGCUCGUCGAGUGCCUCAUGCAAAACGUAGAGAGCAUACUGAGAUAUGAAACACGUUCUGAUUU
rnacentral:snoRNA from 1 species